UACGGAGGAUGCGAGCGUUAUCCGGAUUUAUUGGGUUUAAAGGGUGCGUAGGCGGACGCUUAAGUCAGCGGUAAAAUUGCGGGGCUCAACCUCGUCGAGCCGUUGAAACUGGGUGCCUUGAGUGGGCGAGAAGUACGCGGAAUGCGUGGUGUAGCGGUGAAAUGCGUAGAUAUAUGGAGGAACACCGGUGGCGAAAGCGGCUCUCUGGCCUGUAACUGACACUGAGGCUCGAAAGCGUGGGGAGCAAACAGG
rnacentral:rRNA from 1 species